rnacentral:rRNA from 1 species
GAGUUUGAUCAUGGCUCAGAUUGAACGCUGGCGGCAUGCCUUACACAUGCAAGUCGAACGGUAACAGGUCUUUCGGGAUGCUGACGAGUGGCGAACGGGUGAGUAAUACAUCGGAACGUGCCUAGUAGUGGGGGAUAACUACUCGAAAGAGUGGCUAAUACCGCAUGAGAUCUAUGGAUGAAAGCAGGGGACCUUCGGGCCUUGUGCUACUAGAGCGGCCGAUGGCAGAUUAGGUAGUUGGUGGGAUAAAAGCUUACCAAGCCUACAAUCUGUAGCUGGUCUGAGAGGACGAUCAGCCACACUGGGACUGAGACACGGCCCAGACUCCUACGGGAGGCAGCAGUGGGGAAUUUUGGACAAUGGGGGAAACCCUGAUCCAGCAAUGCCGCGUGCAGGAUGAAGGCCUUCGGGUUGUAAACUGCUUUUGCACGGAACGAAAAGUCUUGGGUUAAUACCCUGGGAUCAUGACGGUACCGUAAGAAUAAGCACCGGCUAACUACGUGCCAGCAGCCGCGGUAAUAC